AGAGCGAACGCUGGCGGCAGGCUUAACACAUGCAAGUCGAGCGGGCGUAGCAAUACGUCAGCGGCAGACGGGUGAGUAACGCGUGGGAACAUACCUUUUGGUUCGGAACAACACAGGGAAACUUGUGCUAAUACCGGAUAAGCCCUUACGGGGAAAGAUUUAUCGCCGAAAGAUUGGCCCGCGUCUGAUUAGCUAGUUGGUGAGGUAACGGCUCACCAAGGCGACGAUCAGUAGCUGGUCUGAGAGGAUGAUCAGCCACAUUGGGACUGAGACACGGCCCAAACUCCUACGGGAGGCAGCAGUGGGGAAUAUUGGACAAUGGGCGCAAGCCUGAUCCAGCCAUGCCGCGUGAGUGAUGAAGGCCCUAGGGUUGUAAAGCUCUUUGUGCGGGAAGAUAAUGACGGUACCGCAAGAAUAAGCCCCGGCUAACUUCGCGCCAGCAGCCGC
rnacentral:rRNA from 1 species